GCUCACAGCACCCUCUGGGGACUGCCCAUCCCUCAGAGCAGCCCAUAUCCACCAUCAAUUAGAGGCAGGGGUGAGGGGUGUGGGGGUGUUCAAAGGCCUGCCCCAGCUCUGCACAACUCUGAAGGUCAAAACCAGCUUCAUUACUCUCCCUGGGAUUGAUUGAGGCCAUUUUUGGGACAACAUCAGAGCUAAAUUCUCCCUCUGUUCAGUCCUUCCUUCUCUUCCUCCCCACAACAGUUAUUGAUUUCAAGAAUGCCCUAAUAAAUGUCUGCACACUGAUCUCCAUUUCAGAAUCUGCCCUCCUAGGGAAAAUAUCCUGCCACAGGAAUUGCUAGGCAGAGGCAAUGAGGCAAAAGGCUUCACAGAGGAGAUGGUGUUUAUUGGGAACGUUCUCAAUAGGUGUAGAGAGGGUGUCUUGGGGGUCUCAUUGCGCCAGUGGGCGCUGGAAGGGCAUGGACAGUUGACACAGCAAAAAAGCACACAACCACUCCCUCACUUGUGACCUGGGGCCAGUUACUCCACCACCUUGAAUCUCACAUUCCUCCUCGGCACUGUGUGACGGGUAAUCCCUCCUUCCUAGGGUUCUUAGUAAAUUUUCAAUGGGAGUGAGUCUCUCCGCAUCUUCCCCCCUCCCUGCCCCCGGGGCUGGGCAGGGGUGGGGUCUCCCUGUGCCCUGCCUCCUCUCUGCGCCCUCUUUUAAAACAUCACCACUCAUCCUUAUGAUGCUCUUGCAAGGCCGGCAUGAUUCUCCCCAUUUCACACAUGGGAAGCUUGGACCGGGAGAGGGAAACAAUUGGCUUGAGAGCCCAUCAUUCCUUCAUCAAAUUUUUCUCUUUUCAAUGAGCAUCUAACUCUGUUCUGGGUUCUAGGGAUACAACAGUGAACAUAACAGAAAAGCCCUCCUGGGGCUGAUAUUCUGGAGGAAGAGAGAAAAAAACUAACACUCGAACUAGGUGAUUUCCAGUUUUUCCAGUUGCGUUAGAGACCACAGAUCUGGGCAAUGGGACUGAGAAUGACAAGGGCUCUGUGAGAGCAGAGGUCAGGGAGGGCCUCUCUGAGGAGAUGACCUUCAAGCUGCGCCUGGAGGAGGAGCCAACCUAGGAGCAGAGAUCUGGGCAGAAGGAACAGCACUGAGUGCUUCUCAGGCACCCUGAGAGGUAGGGACUAUUAUUCCAUUUUACUCAUGUGCAGACUGAGGCCCAGAGAGGUGAAAUGAAGCCAGUAAGUCGGGGGUGAGGGGGAACAAGGCAAAAAGGAACGGGCAUCUUUCUAGGAAUUUACAGGGAAUCUGAGCAGCUAGAAUGAAGGAAAAAGCAGGGAGUGACCCUUGUGCUUUCUAGUCUCCCAGACGUUCCCUGUACAGGUCUAAACUGAACCUUGUUUGGGAAAUAGGGGUAGGGUUUUGCUGUCGGGUGCUCCAAACAAAUCCCCACAUCCCUGGAGAAUAAUCUCCUCCCCUCUCAAAAUCCUGGUGGGGCCUCGGAGAACCAGCCCGAAGCCAUCUGGGUCCAUCUGGAAGGAAGAGAUGUUGCACUGUCCCAGCUGCCUCCCCUGAGGAAUGUGCAGCAGGCUGGAGUCACACAUUUCUCUAACUCUCUCGGCCUCGGUUUUCCAUCCAUAAAAUGGGGAUAACAAUAGUUUUCAUCUCACAGGGUUGUUGUGAGGAUUAAAUGCUGCAUAAUGUGAAUUCCUGCCACAUAUAUGAGCUCACACAAUGAGCUGUUUCUACUGCUUAUUUAUUAUUGUUUCUAUGACUUAUUAUUAACUGCAAAGCAACCCUGUGAGAUUGGGCUGAUCUUGUCCAUUUCAGACAGAGAUCUAAAGUCCAGGACAGGAAACUGAUGUGGCUCAGUUGGUGAUCCCAGGCCAGCUCAGUAUUCCAGUAGCCUUGGUCACUACUUCUGGCCAGGCCAGGAAGGUCCUACCUUACGCCCUGGGGCUCUGAUCCCGCCCUCACAAGACCCUCAGUUGUGGCAAAGCUUUUGGAGGCUGUAAGUGGCUUUGGUCGUGUGAUUCUGGCCGGGCAUGGGAAGCAGCCCUGCCCAGCCUGCUGACUAGAGGAGAGCAGAGAGCAGCAGUGGGUCGGGAGGAGAUGGAGGAAGGCAGGCCUCACCUCUCACCACUGUUCAGAAGCUGGCCUGCUGUCCAGGGGGCAGGCAGGUGCCACACCCAGUCUGCCUUUGCCCUCAGGUCAGGCCCCCUGGUCUCAAGUGUAGAUUGUGCCACCCUCUUGAGGGUCUCAGGUCUCUGGGGUGUCCCCUGUGGUUCAGCAAUCCAUAUCGCCCCAGAGGGAUCUUUUUAAAGUACAGAUGUGACCUGGCUGCUCUCCUAGAAAUCCUUCACUGGCUCCCCGUCAUCUACAGGAUCACAUCCAAAUCCUCUCUGCCCAUUCCAGGCCCUUCCUGAAUUGGCACCUGCUGCUUCCCCACACACUUUGUCCUGACAAAUUCAGAAGUUCUUGCAGCCCUGGGCUCGGCACAGCUGUUUCCUUCGCCUGGACGGCCCCACCCUCUCCCCUCUCCCUGUGUUGCCUCAUAUGCCUGUAACACUUGGGUAAGAAUCAGCUCCUCUCAGCCAUCACCUUAUCCCAGCUGCCAAAAAUAAGGCAGGCUUGGCAGUCAAACCUGGGUUUGAAGCCCAGCUCCACUGUGUAUAAUUGUGGGACCCUGGGGAACUCACUUCAUCUCUCUCAACCUCAGUGGACUCAUCUGUAAAAUGAGGACAAUAAUACCUACCUCACAGGAUCUUAGAAAGGAUGAGAAAUCACAGGCAGUACUUGUCAAACAGGAAUACAAAAAUGGAAGCCCCCUUCCUCCCAAAGGUUUUGCUAUUAAUCACUGCAACGGAACAGAGACUACUGAAGUAAACACAUUGGGGAAAUAAGGAUUCCCAACUCUAACAAAGUUUGUAAAGGCUGUCACCUCUCUGUGGAGUUGUGGACUGGGCCCUGCUUUUUUACCAAGGGUGAAAUUCCCGAAUCACCCCUUCAGGCCUGUCCCCACGCUGCUCUGGACAAGCAAAGCUCUCUCGGCAAGGUGGCACCCCGGCUAAUCCCUCCAGCCGUAGCCGCUUCCACAGGGUCAGCGCCCUGGCCUCGGCCUCACUCAGCCGCUUCCUCAUCCUGAAAACCUCGCAGUCUAGGUCUGAAUCCAUCCCCUUUGCCCUUCAGAAGGAACAGAGCAAGUCUGUCACCCACGGGACCCUUUUUGGGAGCUACUUAAACCUAGUUCAUGUACAGAGAAGACCCAUCCUGCCCACCAAGGACAGGCUGGGACGGAAGACAUCCGGGUGGAAACUCAGUCUGUUCAGUCUACCUCUGAGCCUCAGUCUCUUCAUGAAGAAAGAACGAUUCCCACCUCACAGCUCUUUAAGACCAGGGUGUCUUUGAGGAUGGACCCCCAUGAGAAGGCUGGAGCCUGGAUCAAGAACGCAGACCUGAGUCCUGGCCUACCCAGCAGCCUUGGAGAGGUUACAUGACCUGUUUGGACCUCAGUGUUCUUACCUGUGAAAUGAGCUACAAUUGGAUGACUCCAGGGGCCUUUUCUUGUCUAACUAGAGGUGACUAAGACCUUAGUCCAGCUCUGCCCUCCUUGCUUCACCUCAUGCACACACAGGGGAUGCUCUGCAGGAUGGCUUCCUGGUUCACAAGGCUCCUUUUGUGUUCUCAAAACUCACCCUUGUUGCAACCACCCCCCAACCUGCUGUUUGGUUUGUUCUUUCUCAGGAAAACCUCUCGAGCCUUAUUCCUUUACCUUUAGUCCAAAUUAACUACAAGUUCCUGGCUGGUCCCCCUCCUGCCUGAUUCGGACUCUAGUCUCCACACCGGCAGCCACUGGCUUUCAACAUCAAAUAUACUUGCAUCAGUCCUCCAUCCAAAAUGCGACUGCCUCUCCAUUACCUGUACAGUAGUUUUCAAACUUUUUGUCUAUAUGCCUGUUUUUAGCAUCAGAAUCCUCUUGUCAAAUGGAUCUUUCUCAUAGCCCUACAAUGUCCAACAAUUAAGAGAGAGAUUGCUCAGGCUGAAGAGGGGUAGGAAGCCCAGAGCCAGGCUCCUGGCCCUCCCACCCUCUGCAAGAUAUGUGCCAUGUGCGCACUCUCACGCGCACACACACGCACACACAAAUAGUAGGCCCAAAGCAAGGCCCCUGGACUGCACCACUACUUUCUGCUUAUCUCUGGCCAUCCUCACCUAAGGUUUCACCUUGUACUUUCACCAUAUUGAUUUGCUGAGUUCUUAACACGGCCGGGCUUUUGCAUAUGCUGUUCUUUCUUCAGUUACUGCCAUCUCUGUCUCCACAGGACUCAGGGAGACAGUUAAGGGCACAGAUGAAUACAGGCUCCCGAGUCAGAUGGUCUUAGGGGAAACCUCAGCAUCUUUACUACCAGCUGUGUGGUCUUGAGUAAAUUACUUAAACUCUCAGUUUUCUCACUGGAAAAUGGCAUUAAAUGAGAUAUUACAAAUAAAGUGCUUGACACAUA